rnacentral:rRNA from 1 species
GACGAAGGAUGCAAGCGUUAUCCGGAUUCAUUGGGUUUAAAGGGUGCGUAGGCGGAUCGGUAAGUCAGUGGUGAAAUCUCGCAGCUUAACUGCGAAACUGCCAUUGAUACUGCUGAUCUAGAGUACAGUUGCCGUUGGCGGAAUAUGACAUGUAGUGGUGAAAUACAUAGAUAUGUCAUAGAACACCGAUUGCGAAGGCAGCUAACGAAGCUGUAACUGACGCUGAGGCACGAAAGUGCGGGGAUCAAACAGG